rnacentral:rRNA from 1 species
UACCAGCACCCCGAGUGGUCGGGACGAUUAUUGGGCCUAAAGCAUCCGUAGCCGGUCCUACAAGUCUUCCGUUAAAUCCAACUGCUUAACAGAUGGGCCGCGGAGGAUACUAUAAGACUAGGAGGCAGGAGAGGCAAGCGGUACUCAGUGGGUAGGGGUAAAAUCCGUUGAUCCAUUGAAGACCACCAGUGGCGAAGGCGGCUUGCCAGAAUGCGCUCGACGGUGAGGGAUGAAAGCUGGGGGAGCAACCGG